AAUAAUUUAGAUCUAUUCCUUUAUCUAUUAUUGCAAGGAAAUGAAAGCAAAAUUCUUCUCAUUUUCAGUAACUAUUAGUGGAUUUUGCAAAUCCUGCAUUGUAUUAAUGAAGAAUGAUACUUUUAAAUUCAUAUUGGCAGAUUUUUUAAUGUGUUGGAUCAUUGGAACUAAAAAUGUUUAAGAUGGUCAAAGAACAUACUUCCUUUGUUGUGACGUAUUUCCUAUUGAAAUACUGCGUAAUAAAAAUUAACUAU
rnacentral:misc_RNA from 1 species